AUGUGUGUUUCACAUGCGUGCAAAAUUUUGCGAUGGAAUGAUAUUUGUGAAGGUCUCGGAGAAAAGCCAAAAUGGAUGCUCCAAAAAGACUGUUUCUGGAAGCAUUCUGGAGCAUCAUUUUUUUGUGUGCCCAAACUUGCAUGA
rnacentral:rRNA from 1 species